GACUGGUAUGGCGUAUCACACCAUGACGUUGUUGAUUCCUUUUCUAGAACAGCGCUCCGUGUCAUGUUUGAUUCCUUACAUCGCCUAAUAACUUAGUUUUUAUAUAUUUAUUUCAUUCGAAGCAAUAAUUUGUGUAAGCGCGAUAAAUUUAACGUGCAGUGGUUUGGAAACAGUAGGUCACGUGACUGCCCACAGCCGUUGGCCCAAGCCCCGCGUGAUAACAGACAUCGCGAGAUCUCCGGAAAGAGCCGAGCGCAGCGGAGGAGAAGAGCCGGAAAAAGCCGAUGAUGCUCUUGAAUGCCGCUGCCCCUUUUCAACAUGGCUGCUGUAUGUGCUGUGCUCAGUUGCGCUCCGACUGGAGUCUGACUCGACUCUCGACAACUUAGUGCCUCACAAUACUGUCUCUGAACAGCUAAAAGCUAGGGGGAAAUUAUUCCGUCGGAGCGGUUUUUAAAUCUCCCUUAUUCUUGUGGGGUUUUUAAAAUAUAUAUAUAUAUUAAAAAAAACAACAACAGAACGAGAAAUCUAAUCAAGCAUUGCGUCUGGGGCCUUUUUCCCUUUUUGCUUUUUUACAUGAAAAAAACAACAACAACAGUACAGCUGCUACAACAUUUAGGAUCCAUCAACAAUUUCCAAUGGUUUGACUUUGGCACUUUAAGCUUUUUUUAUUUCUUUUUUUUUCUUCUUUUUUUUCUCAUUUUCUUUCCUUCUUCAUGAACAAUGUGUGAAAACUGCGCCGAGCUGGUUGAGGUGCUGAAUGAAAGCCCAAAGGAGAUGCAAAGCAUUUGAUCUGAAUGUCAUGUUGCAUGCAUGUCAGUGAUCCGGUUUGAUCCAAAUCUGGCCUCUCCUGUCCAUACAUCAGUCAGGAAAAACGUGCUCAUGAUCAUGUUUUACUUUAGUAAUUAUUGCACAAAUCAGCAGUUUCAUGCUGCACAAGACGAAUCCUGACCCUGCCAGUGCAACGCAGUGUCUUUAACACCCAGCCUCUCAUUUCCUUUAGUUCAUUUAAUCCACAUCACUGCAUGUUAGCGUUACCUUCCAUUAAACUCGUGUUUAUUAUUAUUAUUAUUAUUAUUAUUAUUAUUUUUAUUAUUAUUUUCUAACUCGCAUUCAUCCUAAUGCGGCCACAUGCACCUUUAUCCUUAAGCACACAAAAUAUCAAUUCGCUUUUAUUUACCCUAGCCAGCAUUAGCCAUAGCAGCAACAUCACCGUUGCUGUUUUUCUUUUUUUGUUGUUGUUGUUGUUUUUUUGUGUGUUUUUUUUUAUACGUUGUCAUUACCACACGGUUGUUUUUACAGCACACUAAACACUAUAAAACACUUACAACCGUUUACAACAACUAAAUCACUCAUCAUGUGUUAAAUAUCUAAGAAAAAAAUUGUAGUUUGGUGGUUUUGACAACAAAAAUGACAGCUAGCCUGUGUGUGUGUGUGUGUUUUCGCUAGCUUGACUAGCAAUUAGCUAGUCUUCUUUGCUAGCAGUGAACCGCUAAUGGGAUGGAAAUAAUCACCUCCCGCUGGUUGUAGGGAGGUGAAAUGUCUGAAAACACGUCCCGUGUCGUUUAAAAAGAAAUAAAUCAUAAAAUUAGACUGGUGUUUUGUUGUCAUGUUUAGCCACAUGGUGCAAGUGCUAGCUAGCGAACGAACUCGUUAGCAGUGGAAGCUAACGGAGCUUGUUGCUAGCAGCAACUGUUUUGGACUUGCGUUUGUUCCAGAGUUUAAUGUCUUUACCUGACACUGUGUUGAAUUAUCAUAACGUUAAUGAUUUAACCUGCUGUUUGUUUAUUUUUAACCAAACACGUCGUUGUGUUGGUGCUGUCUGUUUGUUUGCUAGCUGUGCUGGUAUUUGUUAGCCUGCUAGCUAACAUAGUUGUGCUUCAUAGGCACAAGUACAAAGGAGCUGAUGGGCCUCUAUAAUGAGAAACUUUAACAAUAGCUGAUUGUGUUUGUUUGCAUUUGAGUUUAGUUCUGAGGUAAAAUUGUGGUCCAUGUCAAAAUACCAUUGCAUUGACAAAAAGGCUUAUUAUUUUUUAUUUUUAAACCCCUCCCACACUUUUUUCUUUUCUUUUCUUUUUUUUUUUCUUUCUUUAAACACUAGAACAGGAGAACAGAGUGUAGUAAAGGUUGAACUGGUGAUAAAGUAGUGAUAAAUCUAUCCUCUGAGAUAAUAUCGAGCUUCAAAAAUCAUUUAACCAUCGAUACAUUUGAUAUAAACAUGACUAUUUAGUUUCCUGCUCGAGCUCCGAGUCAUGCCCAGUGCGAGACUCUCCCGGGUCUGAGUUCGGGAUUCACACGAGUACCCGAAUCGUCGUUGGACUACUCACAAGAACGUCAUCGGAAGUCCUAACUUUAUUAUCUUUUUAUGUGUACGCGUACAGCGCUCGCUCGCUUAGCUUAGGUUUCCAUUCUUGUGCCGAGCAUCUGAAACGAGGCUUUGAGCGUGCCGAUACUUUUAAUCCGUGGUGGGAAUUGACUAGCAAAAUUUAAUCCGAACGACUGAAUGCGUGGAUUUUCCGACCGCCGACUACGGGGGAAAAAAACAACCCCCAGAGAAAGCGCUCCAUCUACUCCGUAACCCGGGACGGUCUCUUCAACCCCAAGUGACCUCAAAUCAACACGGCGGAAACGAGGCCCGAGGGCGCCAAUACUUUAUCAUCUCGGUUUUUAGCGCGAAUAACGGAUGUCAGUUAGGGCGUACGACGUCGAACUCGGCACUCUGAAGGAAUACGACUUCAGAUUUGUAUAAUAUUUCCGUAUUUGCCGUAAUAAAUCCACGAUCAAAUGUUUUAAAAUCAAAUGUGUUACUUUGUUUUUUUUUUUUGUUUGUUGUUUUUUUUUUUUUAAAAUACUCAUCCCAGUGAUGAAACGAAGGACUCAAACCUGUAACUCGGACUAGGAGAAACCAAACAAAGCUCCCUUUCCGUACCGGACUCCGGCACCGUAACUCAGACGGUCUCCUCAACCCCGAGUUCAGCGAGGGACGUCAAAUCAAAAUGGCCGCUCACGGCAUCGGCGCUAAACACUUCUCGGAUGUUAAACGAGUUAUUUACUGUAUUAGCGUUAGCUCAGUCGACACGUUACAUCUAUAACACUGACUCUACGCGUCACCGUUCUGCGGAGGAAGAUACACAUCACCCAUCACGGCUAGCUUGUUGCUAUGAAAAGGCGAAUGGAAUGGACGUGUUUUGUUUACGGCUCGGACGCGUGAAGGUCAGGAAAUUACACCGCUCCGAAUUCACACUUCCUAGUUUUGGUUUAGUUCACGCUAACGUGAGUACAUUUAAAGAUGAAAUCAUCUUUUUUUUAAUUCCCUGCCUCAGGACUGUCACGUGAGCCCCGCGAUUCCAAAAUGGUGGGAGCUCGUCGGUCUCGUUGCGAUCCUGCUUCCUGUGUAGUUUAAUUUCGUGUUUGGGUGAAUUUUUUUUUUGUAUGGUUGACGGAGCGACUGUGGGGAAUGAGAAGUUAACGUUUAUGUUGUGAAAUCAAACAAAGAUGGGGAGAGGUCAAGGUCAUGGAUCAGACGCUCUGUUGUUCUGUUUUAUUGCGAACAGGAAACUAUUUUUCGGGGGGGGGGGGGGGGGGGGUCUGGAAACAGCGAAGACUUUUCUGAACUUUGCUGAAUAUUUGAAAACAUUUUAAUGAUCGGAAUCCCGUACAUCGUUACGUGCCUGCGGUGACGGCGUGCUACACGUUCGAUUUGUGCUGGAAUUCUGCUCUUAGGUUUUAACCGAAAUCGCACGGGACUUCACUCUGCCUCAUCGCUAAUGUUUUACGAAUUUCUACAACCAUACGGAAAUUACCUGCUAACACAGCUAAGCGCAACAUUCGCAUGAAGCCCGGCACCAUCUGUGUGUGAGCGAGCGAGCGAGAGAGACACACACACACACACACACACACACGUACAUGUCUUUGUGUUGAGUGACAGGCCCAUGUGUCCACAUGUAGUUUGAUCUUUGACCUCCAAAUCUGAUAUAUGGGCAGCUAUCUCCUCCUCGUGUCGCCGUGUGUGUGUGUGUGUGUGUGUGUGUGUGUGUGUGUGUGUGUGUGUGUGUGUGUGUGUGAGACAUGGAUACAACUAAUAGGAGACGAGACAGAUGUGCCGGUUGUAUGUAUCUUACGCUGGGAGGGGCAGAUCAGGCUUUUCACCACGUGGAGGAAGCUUGACAGCGAGGCAUGUGUUGACUCGCACACCGCGCUCUCUCUCUCUCUCUCUCUCGCUCUUUCGCUCUCUCUCUCUCUCUCACACACACACUUUACAAUCAGUGAAACGAGUUCAUUGGAUUUAUUUCCCCAGCGCCCUGCACAAUACGCUGUAUUUGUAUUGAAACGGUAUCAGAGAUGGAUUUCAGCGUCGUCUCUUACUGUGUGAAAGGUCCGGAUUCUCGUCCGCUUUUAAUCAUCUGUGUGUCUGACCUGGUUACCAUAACGACAGCACCCGUAUAUGCCGGUAACACCCGCCCCCCCCCCUGCAAAAUAUAAACCCGCUUACGUCACGAUGGAGUUAAACGUUUCCCGCUUCGUCCGCGGCAUCUGUUCGAACGUCGCCGUCUCCCGGACGGCGUUACGCAGCUCCAGGCGUAAAAGAUGACGGCGUUAGGAUCGGAACUGCAAGUCUGACGUUUUAGACGCGCACGGACGGUUCGAAACGGAACGAGACGUUAAUAAUCGUGUACAGCGCGUAAAGAGGAAGCCGAGAGGCGCGUAUUUACUUUGAUCUUGACCGGAUAGCGCUGACCGAUGACCGCGGGACAGGAGGAGACUCUUUAACUUCUGCGUCAGACAGAGACGGCUUCCGUUCUUCGUUCUUCAUUCUUUAUUAACGUCGCUACGAGAGAAAUGUGUCGCGUGCCGCUCGUAGCGAGGGCCGAACCACUUUUAUUAAAACAAAGAAGACGUGUAGGCCGGGAAUAAACCGUGCAACAGCUCACACUCGGUCAGUACGUUCACAUGGACAACAAUAAUCCGAUAUUAACCCGAUUAAGACCAGCAUGUAAACAGAGAUUACCGACGACCUUAAUCCGAUUAAAGUCAUACCCGGAAUGAAGACGUGUGGAGUACUCCUGUUCCAGACGUUCCAGACACGUACACACCUCAAUCGCACUAUUAACGUCGUGUGGGAGUUUCCACCGCAUCGUGCGACAGGACACGUACGCAACACGGCAGCGCUCGGCCGUUCGACGGCGGACAAGAGAGCACGGCCGCGUCCCAAACCGCGUACUUGCCUCCAGUAUAGCAGGUGAAAUGCAUGUAUUUCGGUAAGUACGCGGUUCGGGACGCAGCCCACGGCUUCAAGCGGUCGUCUGUUCGCACGUACGGCACGACUAAUAAUCAACCGCACCCGAAGCUUUCGUAAAAAUAAAAACACCCGAAACCGUAUACGGUCCCAUAACGAAGACCGACCGUAUGAAGAUGCGUGAAAUUCUGGCGGGGACGGCGUGGCGCGGGGAUAUAACGACACGUGAAACGUGAAUAUGAAGCGAGUGUUCUAAAAGCGACUCAUGUAAACACCUUAAUCAGAAUAUCGUCUUAUUCAGAAUAAGGUCGACGAUUAUGUUACUGCUGUCCGUGUAAACGUAGUGAAUGACAC
ensembl:lncRNA